UCCCAGGUGGCUCAGAGUAUAAAGCGUCUGCCUGCAAUGCGGGAGACCUGGGUUUGAUCCCUGGGUUGGGAA
rfam:Ovis aries breed Texel chromosome 2, whole genome shotgun sequence.